UGGGAGGUAAAUUUCUCCUAAGGCUAAAUAACGGCGAGAGACCGAUAGCGAACAAGUACCGUGAGGGAAAGAUGAAAAGAACUUUGAAAAGAGAGUUAAACAGUACGUGAAAUUGUUGAAAGGGAAACGAUUGAAGCCAGUCGUACCUUCGGGUAAUCAGCCUUUCGGGUGCGAUUCUGUGGGGUGUGAGGAGUUAAACGCCUUCAUGUUUUGCAUAUUCGUGCUCUUGGGUGUACUUGCCCGUGUGGUUGGUUAACAUCAAUUUUGGACGCCAUAAAAUGGCUGGAGGAAUGUGGCUUCGAUCUCGUAUUGAAGUGUUAUAGCCUUCGGCAGAUGUGGUUUUCGAGAUUGAGGAUUGCAACGGAUACCCUUCGGGGCUACUCAUCUGAUCUCUGAUCGUUGCUCUGGUGCCGAAAGCUUGCUUACGGUUAUUAAAGUCGAUGGUCAAUAGGUUAGAAUGGGUUAAAUUCGUUAAGGAUGUUGACGUAAUGGCUUUAAACGACCCGUCUUGAAACACGGACCGAGGAGUCUAACAUAUAUGCGAGUGUUAGGGUGAUUAAACCCUUACGCGUAAUGAAAGUAAUUUUGGUGGGAUCACUUUUGUGCACCAUCGACC
rnacentral:rRNA from 1 species